rnacentral:rRNA from 1 species
GACGAACGCUGGCGGCGUGCUUAACACAUGCAAGUCGAAGGAAGUGGCGCACGGGUGAGUAAUAUAUAGCUAAUCUUCCCCUUGCUGGCGGUCAACAGUUAGAAAUGACUGCUAAUACUCCAUAGCAAGGGAUGAGACUAUAUCGUAUCAGCUAGUCGGUGGGGUAACGGCCUACCGAGGCUAUGACGCGUAACUGGUCUGAGAGGAUGAUCAGUCACAUUGGAACUGAGACACGGUCCAAACUCCUACGGGAGGGAGCAGUAGGGAAUAUUGCGAAAUGGGGGAAACCCUGAAGCAGCAACGCCGCGUGGAGGAUGACACUUUUAGGAGCGUAAACUCCUUUUGUUAGGGAAGCGGUACCUAACGAAUAAGCACCGGCUAACUCCGUGCCAGCAGCCGCGGUAAUUC